rnacentral:rRNA from 1 species
UAGGGAAUCUUCCACAAUGGACGAAAGUCUGAUGGAGCAACGCCGCGUGAGUGAAGAAGGGUUUCGGCUCGUAAAACUCUGUUGUUAAAGAAGAACAUAUCUGAGAGUAACUGUUCAGGUAUUGACGGUAUUUAACCAGAAGGCCACGGCUAACUACGUCCCAG